rnacentral:rRNA from 1 species
ACGGGUGAGUAACACGUGGGUAACCUGCCCAAGAGACUGGGAUAACACCUGGAAACAGAUGCUAAUACCGGAUAACAACACUAGACGCAUGUCUAGAGUUUAAAAGAUGGUUCUGCUAUCACUCUUGGAUGGACCUGCGGUGCAUUAGCUAGUUGGUAAGGUAACGGCUUACCAAGGCAAUGAUGCAUAGCCGAGUUGAGAGACUGAUCGGCCACAUUGGGACUGAGACACGGCCCAAACUCCUACGGGAGGCAGCAGUAGGGAAUCUUCCACAAUGGACGCAAGUCUGAUGGAGCAACGCCGCGUGAGUGAAGAAGGGUUUCGGCUCGUAAAGCUCUGUUGGUAGUGAAGAAAGAUAGAGGUAGUAACUGGCCUUUAUUUGACGGUAAUUACCUAGAAAGUCACGGCUAACUACGUGCCAGCAGCCGCGGUAAUACGUAGGUGGCAAGCGUUGUCCGGAUUUAUUGGGCGUAAAGCGAGUGCAGGCGGUUCAAUAAGUCUGAUGUGAAAGCCUUCGGCUCAACCGGAGAAUUGCAUCAGAAACUGUUGAACUUGAGUGCAGAAGAGGAGAGUGGAACUCCAUGUGUAGCGGUGGAAUGCGUAGAUAUAUGGAAGAACACCAGUGGCGGAGGCGGCUCUCUGGUCUGCAACUGACGCUGAGGCUCGAAAGCAUGGGUAGCGAACAGGAUUAGAUACCCUGGUAGUCCAUGCCGUAAACGAUGAGUGCUAAGUGUUGGGAGGUUUCCGCCUCUCAGUGCUGCAGCUAACG